CAACAGGUGCUCUGCUCUUGCGCAUGUUUGGUGGCGUCUCCGGCGCAGCCGUGCUUCUUGAGGCGACCGGCGUGAUGGCGGGUGUGUAUGGCGGCGACCACAAGCUCUCCAGGAGCUCCACAUAUGAGUCUCGGCCAUCCUCCACAACAAGUAGCUGGGCCAAGGGAGCAAGCAGCGCUAUUGGUUUCUUGAGGCCGGAUCGUGUAAGAUGGUGCAUCAUGGCGUGCGGCGGCUUAUUCUGUCAUAGUGGGUUAUGAUGAUAUUUCCAAGGAAAUAUACUGACCCUGAUGUGGCUAAGGUGAUUUGAUUUUCAGAAGUUGGAAGAGGAAGACGAUGAAGCAUGGUGUUUUUCUAUCAAUCUACCUCUUGUUCUGGUUGUAGUCUGUAGCUAGUUAUAUUGUAAUCGGUAGUAGUCAGCACAUCAUUUCUAUGAAUACCAUGUAAAGACUGUAAUAGGCUGAUUUUGCAUAUCAUUUCAAGAAUUUAGUUCUGUUCCA